rnacentral:rRNA from 1 species
GAAAAACCUUACCUACCCUUGACAUGCCAGGAACUUGCCAGAGAUGGCUUGGUGCUCGAAAGAGAGCCUGGACACAGGUGCUGCAUGGCCGUCGUCAGCUCGUGUCGUGAGAUGUUGGGUUAAGUCCCGCAACGAGCGCAACCCUUGUCAUUAGUUGCUACGAAAGGGCACUCUAAUGAGACUGCCGGUGACAAACCGGAGGAAGGUGGGGAUGACGUCAGGUCCUCAUGGCCCUUAUGGGUAGGGCCACACACGUCAUACAAUGGCCGGGACAGAGGGCUGCCAACCCGCGAGGGGGAGCUAAUCCCAGAAACCCGGUCGUAGCCCGGAUCGUAGUCUGCAACUCGACUGCGUGAAGUCGGAAUCGCUAGUAAUCGCGGAUCAGCUUGCCGCGGUGAAUACGUUCCCGGGUCUUGUACACACCGCCCGUCACACCAUGGGAGC